rnacentral:lncRNA from 1 species
UUUUUAAUAGUUCAAAUCCAGUUUUUUAAAAUUAAAUUAUGAAACAAAGGUGAUGUGAAUAAUCAUAUUGAAUGGUAAGUGCAAUAAAAUCUGCAUAUGCAUUGAAUUCAGAAUUGAGUCAUGUCCAAUAUUACAGUCUAACCUCAAUUCCUAUCAAAUAAAUUAAAAAAUAGUUGGUCCCAUAUUUAUGGCUUUCUGAUUAUAGGGUCUUCUAUGGAGGUAACAUUAUUCCCCUUGAAUUCUUCUCUAUUGUUCUUAUCUUUGCAGUGACUAUCCUUGUCUGUCUCUGCGUUGCUCCACUCCACCCCAUCCCUAUUUCCUCUGCCUAUUCACCUCUCCCUGCUUCUCUGGCUCUUUUCUCUUUGUCAUCUUUAUUUUCCCUCCUCCCUCGUUCAGUAAUUAUAAUCUCUUUAAUAUUUUUAAAAACCAAACUCAUAUGUUGAAAUUAAUAAAUUAGAGUCUCUGUACCUAUCAUUAAACAAAUCUUUGGGCAAACUUUUAUACUAGGAUGCAUAUUUCCACAUAGCCACUUAUAUUCCAACCUAAUCUAAGAGUGAAAAUGACUGUUGACCAGAAAUUAAUACUUUUACCAAUAGUCAAAAAUAGUGAUCAUAUUUCAACAAUAGAUAACUUUAUUUACUAUUGCCAGAAAGAUUCAUAAUUAUCUUUGUGUGUAUAUAUUUAAUUAUAAUCACACUUGAUUGGAUUACAGUUUCCAAGAACUAAUUAUGGCUGUUAGUGGCUAUUAAAUAAGAAAAUGUGUUUGCAGCUCAAACAUUUGUCUUGUUAUGUUUCCUAGUGGAAAAAGGCAUAUACUGACAGGAUGCCAAUUUGUUUUAAGUGAAUUCAUGUUACUACCCUGCACAAUAAAAUAAUAUACAAGGCUGUGCUUUGUGAAUUAUGAGUUAUAUUAGUGAAUAUCAUUUUCUGAUUGCCUGCAUUUUUCCUAUUUUAUAUACAUGAUCAUUUUUGUAAGUAAAAUUAAUAUAAAAUUUAAAUACUUGUGAAUAAAGAGAUGUAGCACUGUUUUCUAUCAAACUACACUAAUCCUUUCAAGCAAAAAGUAGUUUAUUAAAUCAUAUUCCACUAAUUUUAAGGUGUUGAUGCAUUUGUCAUAUUACCUAAUUAACACUGUGUUAUGGGAGAAUUUUUGUAGCAUAUAUUUUGAAUUAUUAUUAUUAUUUUUUUUUUUUUUUUUUUGAGACGGAGUCUCGCUCUGUCGCCCAGGCCGGACUGCGGACUGCAGUGGCGCAAUCUCGGCUCACUGCAAGCUCCGCUUCCCGGGUUCACGCCAUUCUCCUGCCUCAGCCUCCCGAGUAGCUGGGACUACAGGCGCCCGCCACCGUGCCCGGCUAAUUUUUUGUAUUUUUAGUAGAGACGGGGUUUCACCUUGUUAGCCAGGAUGGUCUCGAUCUCCUGACCUCAUGAUCCACCCGCCUCGGCCUCCCAAAGUGCUGGGAUUACAGGCGUGAGCCACCGCGCCCGGCCUUGAAUUAUUUUUAAUUGUCUUAAGAUAACUGACUUUGAAGAAAUAAUAGCUAUUUGUUAUCUAACUUCACUUGUAAAUUUUGCCUACU